AGGGAUUUGUGAGAUUAAUUGGAUCGCAUUGGAUGUAAGUAAUGAACUGCCUUUUCUAGACUCUUCAUUUAUAUAAUAUUAUUUUUGCAUUAAAUAAAUUGUUAAUGAAUUUAUAUGUGAUUUAUGAAUUUUACGAGAUGAUGAUUUGAAUGAAAAAUUAAUAUGUGAACUGGAAUAAUAUUUUUCAGACUAUUGUUAUAUUUACUGUUCUUGCAUCGUAUAUGCAUAUUUAGAUCGGAUUAUGAUAUGUCUAUUAUGUUACCAAAAGAAUUUUGAUGUGCAUCAGAUUUAGAACUCUCAGCCUGACUAUGUUUUGGACCCUGCCAAUUGGAGGUUAUGCAUUGGCAAUUCUAGCCGCACCACAGGGUAUAAGUGUGGUAUUUUGGCCCACUCCGUAGGGUAUAAGUGCGGUAUUCUGGCCCACUCCACAGGGUAUAAGUGCGGUUCUGAUUCUGGCCUAGCCACAGGGUAUAAUUGUGGUCAUAGUUAAAGGCUGUUGAGUUGAAUGUGAUUUGUUUCGAAUUGGAUUUAUGAUUAUGUAUAUGGAUAUUUGAAAGAUACGGAUUUCAAUGGAUUUGUGUUUGAAAAGAAAUUGAUUAUGUCUUUAUGCUGAUUCAUCAUUAUUUCAAUUGAUAUUUUAUGUUAUUAUAUGAAUCGUCUAGAUAAGAUUUUUAUUACUUAAUGGGCUGUCUAGCGCAUUAUACAAUUUUUUGUUGUUUUACAGAUUCCGAGAACUAACUUAUCGGAGAUUUAAAAUGGAAGAGCGACUAGAAGAACUGAAGCAUAAGUUAUCUUAGAUUAGGCUUUAUUUAAAUUAAUGUUUUAUUUUUAUUGUUCCGCUGCGUAUUGAGAACUGUGAGACUUUAUAAUUUGAGUCAGUCAAUGGAGUAAGAUUGCAUUUAUUUCA
rnacentral:lncRNA from 1 species